AAAAAUUCACCCCUGCUUCCACCAGUAGUAGAAUUUGUAGCUAGUGUGUCUGGACCAGGGUGAUACAAGCAUCACAGGAGAGUGGAGAGCUAGUGUUAAAGACAAGUCCCUAAAAUGGGCAGAAGCAGUGGCAGAUCUUGGCAGUUAAGAGCACGGGUUCCCAUGAGUUCUGGAUUUGAAUCCUGGCUGACCACUUGUGAGCUCUACAAUCUCAGG
rnacentral:misc_RNA from 1 species